UACGGAGGGUGCAAGCGUUAUCCGGAUUUACUGGGUUUAAAGGGUGCGUAGGUGGGUAGGUAAGUCAGUGGUGAAAUCUUCGAGCUUAACUCGGAAACUGCCAUUGAUACUAUUUAUCUUGAAUACUUUGGAGGUAAGCGGAAUAUGUCAUGUAGCGGUGAAAUGCGCAGAUAUCGGGAGGAACACCGGUGGCGAAGGCGGUU
rnacentral:rRNA from 1 species